UUUAGCUGCUUUGCUACAUCGGGGUUAUCUACUUCUGUGUUUCUCAUAUUGGCAGUUGUUUUUGAUUGGAAUGCAGGAAUAUUUACUUCGUCUUCUUUGGGGAAGGAGUUUUGGAAAACCCAUGGAGGUAUGAAUAGAUUUACCUCCAUGGGAAAACCAUAUUUAAUUACUCUGCUUUAGUGGCACUGUCAUCAGUGACUUCACAUAUGCCGGGUAUCUAUGUGCACAUACUUGGACGACAGCUGAGAUGUUCAAGGACUGAUUUCUUCACCAAAUCAUUCCAGCUGUGAAAGAAAAUUUCGAGAAAAUACGAUCACCAACAAAUUCUAGAGAAGUUCGCAUUUUGAACAACUGCCGAGCUCACCCCCAGGAAUCAGAGCGUGUGUCAGGUGCCGGUACUGAGGUACGUUUGUACAAAAACUGCUCAACUCACAUUCAAGCAUCAAAGAGUUCCAGUACAAUUUUAACAUUAAACACGCUAGAUUCACAGCUGCAGUUGCUUGAACCUCUGUGAAAAAUACAACAUUGCACGGGGCCUAGAGAAAACUAUGGCCUGAACUGGUCGAAGAAGCCGAGAUGGAAAGCCAUGUAAAUGAUGAUGAUUCGGCAACUGAUCGCCCUGAAAUUAUACAAGUGAUAAGAAGUAGUAUAUGAACUGACUGCCAUUAUGUGAAAUUUUCCGCCUGCCGGGGUCUUCCACUUCGACUACUAUUUGCUAAUAAUGCAACUUCACUACAUCUCAAAAAACGAAUUGUCAAACAAAAUACUGCAAAAUUAAAUGUUAAAAUUCAUAUAAUA